UCUCCGACUUCGUCCGUGAGGCCGAGCGCCACGGGCGACCAUGUCCCUCUGCGGAUGCCGGCGGGGCGGGCCGCCAUGGCUGCGGCAAAUCGGCGGAGGAUGACGCGCGCUUCCAGUGAGGGCGUCGGGAGUUGGGGUACCGGCUCGUCUUCCUCUUUCUCCGGCGCUGGGAGAUUGAGGUCGGGGACGGGGAGAGCCCGAGGGGAGCGUGCGGGAGCCGCGGCGACUACCUCCUCCUUCUUCACCAGUGGCGGGUGCGCGUCCACGAGAGCCGCAGCCGACGACGAGGAGAACUCCGGCACAGGCACUCGUUCAUAGCCCGGCGGAGCGAAGUGCUGCAUGUCCUCGUCGGAUGGCGUCGGGGACGGGAGGCACGGUCCGAAGCCGUGGGCCCGUGGCGCAUGCAAUAGUACAUCGUCGGAGGCGAUGCCGGUGGUGGCGGUGGUGCCAGGAGUUCCUCGUCGCCGAAGUCGCGCUCGGGGUCGUCCACGAGCCAACCGGCGCUUGGUCCGCCCAGCAGCCACUCCAUGGGCGGGACGGCGAACUCCGGCGGCACCGGAAUCAGUUCGUCGGCGUCCGCGCUGAUAUUUGAGGCUGAGGCCUCGUCUUCAUACACUGCGUCCACCACUUCUUCCGCGGCGACCUCCGGCGCUGCGACCUCCGGCGCGGCGACGACGGCCGGCUCUGCAGCGGCCACCGGGGUUUGUUCCCGGCGCACAAUAGCCGUGGUGCUUGGCCCCGGUGCUCCAGGGGAGCGGUGGCACUGCAGCGGGCGGUUGUCGUGACGGUUGUGCUGCUGGGGCGCCCAGCGGUUGCCACGAACGGGGCGGCGGAGGCCACCGCCAAGGCCGAAGCGGCGACGGGACACCCAGCGGUUGCCGUGGUGGCGGCGGCGGAGGCCACCGUUCUGCUCUGGGCGACGCUGAUGGCGACGGUCAGAGUUCCAACGGCGAGCGGCAGCGCGAGUGAAAGUCCGGCGAGAAUAGUUGGAGCGACGGUAUUCCCUAGCCACAAAUUGAGCGAAGGAAAAAAGCAAGUUGCGGCGGGGAAGCCAUCUUUACUCACCUUUCUCUGUUCUCCUACUAUUGCCUAUUGCUUUGGCAGAGACAAGUGCAUGAUAACGUGUGAAGAAACGAGAGAAGCGAGAGAGAGUGAAGUGAAAAUGGAUGAUCUCAUUGAUGUACUGUUCAGGCCUUAUAUAGUAUCUGAACAUGCGUCUUUUACAAUGUCGGUUACAGUACGCGUCCCUUCCGAACAGGCAUAGCAACCCUUCGGAGAAGUUGGCGUUUGGACAACGCUAGAAUAAGGCAACUGCUGGCAGUUAUUACUAACAUAAUCCUAACUGCUCACUUAGCCUAAAUAUGACGCUAACUUAUUCCUAACAGUUUCGUCCCUCACUGGUUUUGUCUCACCUAUUCUCCUUUUUUGAGCCAAUUAGAUAGCGCCACGUGGACCAGCAGUGGUACAUGGAAAAAGGCAACCGGCCAGCCCGUGCCUGCCAAGUUUCCUGCGUGGAUGCUACCGUGGAUACGCUGUGAGGCCCCCGUGGGGGCAUCAUAUAUACCUUCAGAUGAUGUGUUGUGCGUUAUCAUCGUUUUUUUUAUACUACUGUCUGAUCUCUCCUACGACGACAUCCCAUUGAUCUAGAUCUACAUCCAUGUUUCUCUCUUUGAUCAGCAUCCACACGCACAAUCACAUCCACCCACCUCUGGUACGAGGUGCCCUCGCAGGAGACUCGCGCACUGUGAGGUUUCUGAAAUCGUCUUUGCUCAUCUGGGUGAAGAAUUUGGCACAAAUAUUGACCUAUUACAUGGUGUUCGUUUUGGACAAGUAUUUUCGGGCAUUAAUCUUCGUCGUGUGGGUUAGUGGGUACCUACGCCUGUGGUGGGUGGAAGGAAUAGGAUGGGAAGCAGAUGAUGAACAAAAUGCAAAGACCCGCUUCUUUCAGGUGUGUUGAAAAGACCCUUUGCUGAGUAGUUUGUAAUUUGUAAUUUCUUUUACACACAAGUUGCCCUGUGCUAUCAACUCUUCUAUUUGGACGCGUAAAGGGGUUUGUUUAUACAAAAGCACUAUCGUUGAUUCAUGUGUGGGAAAUCAUAGCAACUCCAUCUUGCCUUCCAAAGAAUUUAUUUUGACAGAGCAGGCUGGCGCUGGCCAUCUGUCCAUAUGACAUUUUCUGGAAUCAAUAGGUCACGAUUUACAUCCUUAUCAUUUCUUUUGAUCCACUAAAUUAGCUAUUGAAACCUCUUGUUCUCUGAUGGUGCCUUGAAGUGUGGCUUUGUCAUGUUCUUGGUUACAUUAUUUAAAGGAAAAUUCAGUAAUGUGAAGAAGUUUAGUGAGCUAAUUUCUGCAGUCCAUCUGAGCAAAACGGCCUUAGCAGCAGUGGAGGAGCUCCAAUCGUCUUCCGCCAGCGGCAACCUGAUCAACCGAAGCUCCUUCGCCGUCUACAUUGAGCAUCUGACUUUAACCAACCUUAAGUAGAUACGUAUUUUCUUACGUUGAAGCACCAUAUUGUGGGUUGAUCUGCGUUUCCAGUGGAUAAUGAACACAAUGCAAAAGUCCUCUUCUUUCCACUGUGAUGCAAGGACUCUUUGCUCGAUUCAGUUUCAGGUGGUAACGCACUGAAACAUAGGCCUGCUCACCGCAACGUUCCAGAACCAAGAGCUUGUUCUCAUCAGAAGAAGAGAGUGCGAACACGGUACUGUUCCAAACACAAGGUAAAAAAUACCAUUGAAAUCCAAGUGCUACUCUAAUAAUAUUGAUCAACUGGGUUCUGACUGCUAACAAUAUUACUGUAAGAUAUUAAGUAGACAAGGAAUGGCUGGAAACAAAAUUAUUGAAAUGGUACCAGAGAGUUAUAGGCCAUCUGACAAUUUUUCUUGAAUCAGCCUAUUAGUUUAACUUUCAGGGCCUAUUGACCAUGCUUGUGGCAGAUUGAAGUGGACCAUGGAAGAACCAUUGUGCAGAAAAGGCUGGCUUAGUUCUUAUAUUAAUAGAUUCUAUUAAAUUGACUUUCAAAUCAAUUGUUGUCUGCAAUCACACACAUGGACAAUGGCUCCCUAUGUGAUGAAUUUCUUUGACUUUUAUGGUGUCUAGCAUCCUUAAUAGCUUCUAUCACAUUUUCUUUUAGGUGCAUUUGAAUAAUUUGCAUGAUUAAACGGUUAAUUCCCUGAUCUUUUUGUUGCAAUGAACAUGUAUAUGUUGCAAUGUUCUUCAAUAUUUUUUAAUAAGGAAAAAAAUACAAGCAGCAGUACACUUAAAAUGUAUGCAAUAUUUCAGAAGCAUGCCAUAUCUUUGAAUUCCAGCUAAUUAUCUUAUGCAUGAUUGUCUGGAGCGGAAAUUUCGGUAGUUCUGGAUUGGACUAUCCUUGGAUCGUCAUUUUUUGGAUGGGUCAGUAAAAGGUUUAGGUUUGUGGAAUAACUCUGAAUUAGUAAUUCUAAAUUAUGUUUACGGCGAUUUCAGUCCACUGGCAUACCUGUUUCCUGUUUGUUCAUUAAAUUUGCUUCAAUUUAAAUCUUGGGCAUACCUGUUUCCUGUUUGUUCAUUAAAUUUGCUUCAAUUUAAAUCUUGGGCAUACCCUUUUAGAUGCUUUCAUAUUUGGUUCAGCUAGCGACCUGGCAUGUCACUCCAAUCAGAUGCUACUGCCUUUGCACUUGUAAGUAUUGAUAGCAUUUUAAAGGUUUAUUACUUUAUUCUUUGAUUCAAAGCAUAUAAUUUAAUUAGUAUGCUUUUACUGUUUGCAAGCUAUGGACUUUAUUUUAGAAACACAAAAUCUGCCCAGUAUGAGUGUAUGACAGUUGCAAUGAAUUCUCAAGCAUCUCAAGCAUCCCUAAGGUGAGGAGAAAUUUUUAGUUUGGUUUGCAAUGCAGAGGAUGCACUUUAUUUCAUAAGAAGUUUGAGAGUGGGAAAGUGUUGUUGAGUUGUUUGCAAUCUGCUAAGGCUGUGCUUGCUUCCGUAAGAAGUUCCAGAUUAGAAAAACGUUAUUUCUGUGUCUGUUAGACUAACCUGAGUGCAAUUCGUUUUUGUCAGGUAACCUGAGUGUAUAUUGACGUGCUUUAUUUUUUUGAGAAUCCCAAUGCUACGGUAUGCCAAAAAUAUGUGGAUAACAAAAACGUUGAUAUGAAGAUACAGAUAAAUCGAAGAUCAGAAAGAUGUGAGCUCAGAUUUUAUUUAUCUGAUACAGUAGCAGGGUUUAAUAAACAUUCCUUGUUAUUAUUCACCUGGUUCUGUUGGUACGUUAGAACGAAAGUCAAUUGUAUU